CCGACCUUAGCUCAGUUGGUAGAGCGGAGGACUGUAGUUGAAAGCAGAUGAUCCUUAGGUCGCUGGUUCGAAUCCGGCAGGUCGGA
rnacentral:tRNA from 1 species